AGUGAACGCUUGCGGCGUGCUUAACACAUGCAAGUCGAAAGAGAACGGGUUAUAGCUUGCUAUAAUUGUCAGCUAAGUGGCGCACGGGUGAGUAAUGUAUCGGUAAUAUGCCUCUUACUAAGGGAUAACAAAUGGAAACGUUUGCUAAUACCUUAUACUCCUUAUUAACAGAAGUUAAUAAGGGAAAGAUUUAUUGGUAAGAGAUUAGCCUGUAUUGUAUCAGUUAGUUGGUGGGGUAAUGGCUUACCAAGACUAUGACACAUAACUGGUUUGAGAGGAUGAUCAGUCACACUGGAACUGAGACACGGACCAGACUACUGAUGGAGGCAGCAGUGGCGAAUAGUGCACAAUGGACCAAAGUCUGACGCAGCAACGCCGCUUGGAGGAUGACACAUUUCGGUGCGUAAACUCCUUUUAUAUGAGAAGAUAAUGACGGUAUUAUAUGAAUAAGCACCGGCUAACUCCGUGCCAGCAGCCGCAGUAA
rnacentral:rRNA from 1 species